UUUGUUUCAUAGUCAAUAUAUAAUCAUGUUUCAUGACAGUGUAACGGUUAGCUUUUUUACAGAAGCAUGAAAGAACAAUAUAUCUGUCAGGGAAUGCUAUUCUGAUGUCAGAUGAAGAGUUAGACCAGAAAGUCAGGGCCAUUAAGGCAAGGAUGCCCCAUGCAGGCUUUAGAAUGGUCAGAAGAAGUCUCCACGCAUUGGGCCAUCGUGUACAAAGUCAGAGUUCAGGAGUCUUUGCAGCGUGUAGAUAGAGGCAGGUAUCAUUUCCAGAAUGAUCCAGCUUCGUUGCAUUGCUCAGCAAAAAUACUCUGUUCCUGCUCCCCUGUCUCUCGUCCACAUUGAUACAAAUCAUUAAUUGAUAAGGUACUAAGAUGUAUAAUGUCUCCAUCAAAUCUAAGAAGUUAUUUAAACUUUUUUUAUUCUUACUUAUUUGUAGACACAUGUUCAAUGAUCUAUGAAAUGGGAGUUUUUCUUCAUCAACUGGUAAUACAUAAACAAUGAAGCAGGUUAAUAGGUUAAACAUCUCACUUUUAAUUCCAAUGCUUUUUCUCAAGAUACAACAUUGUCAUCUUUGGCGGUAUAGAUGGAUUUUCAAGGAAGGUAAGUGUAUUAUUUUCUAUACACAUUGCAUAUUUCCCUUUACCUAAUGAACAAGCACAAUACCAGUCUGGUGUUAAGCGUAGGCUACCUCUUGUAUAGAUGUUCUAUCUAGACACUGCGGCCAAUAACAAAGCAGCAACUACUUUUGGAUACUUUAUGGAUGGAGUCGGCAGAAACGGAUGGCCUUCAAGGUAAAUACUGAUAUAGUAGAAUGAAAAAAAGGAUUACUUGUACUUUACAUAUUCACCCUAACCACACAUGUAUUGUAACGUCUUGUGAGGAGUUACUUUCUGUAUAGAAACCCUUGACAUCCUCCUCAUCAAACCUUGUAAGAUUGCUUCCUGUGCUGUACUGACGUAUCCACUAAAUAACAUCUGCUGCUUUAGAUUGAACGGUCGUAUCUCAGUUAUUGUUUUCACAUCUACAAAAAAAUAAGCUAUUUUCUUUACAUUAGAGAGCGAGCUGAUCAAGCUGUAGAAAAUGUAGAUAUUUCCAGAUGUUCACUGUCCGAAGAACAGGCUUUAUUGCUGCUUAAAGUGUCCAUAACCAGAGGUAAUUAAACUGAUCUGUGUUCUUUUUCUCUCUUCCUCUCUGCCUGUCUUGUUGUGCAUGGAACCUGUCUCACAUGCAUUAAUUUAAAAAACCUUAAGAUGUCAGCUGAUAAUUUUCAGAUUUAAACCACAUAAACACAGGCAUUUUCACUGGACUAUCUGUUGCUGCCAAGUCAUGAUUUCCCUGGGGGUUAGCCUGGCAAUAACCAAGUGGUGAGACACAUAGCCCUCUAUAUUUAAAUGUUUCAGGUACACUCAGAUAGGUGUCUGCGUCACAAACAGUCAGGAACCACUCACAGCGGGACACACAACUUGAAUUUCUAUAACCUCGAACCCACCUCAGUGUUCACUAUUCAUGGAGGACCACAGAGAUUAGGUUCCUCCCCCUUACAAAACAUUAUAUUUCUCUCUGUUAGAGUGGAACGCUUAUGGAGAGAUGUUUGGAGUGCUGUGACAUGUCAGUACUACAACUUGCUGCACAGUUUGGAGGAAGAUGGCUACGUUGACCUGUCGAAUUCUAUUUUGUCGAAUUCUAUUUUCUACUUUUAAACUCGGACAAAACAGAGAUGCUUGUUCUAGGUCCCAAGAAACAAAGAUAUCUUCUGUUGAUUCUGACAAUUGAUCUUGAUGGUUGUACAGUCGUCUCAAAUAUAACUGUGAAGGACCUCGGCGUUACUCUGGACCCUGAUCUCUAUUUUGACGAACAUAUCAAGACUGUUUCAAGGACAGCUUUUUUCCAUCUACGUAACAUUGCAAAAAUUAGAAACUUUCUCUCCAAAAAUUAUGCAGAAAAAUGAAUCCAUGCUUUUGUUACUUCUAGGUUAGACUACGGCAAUGCUCUACUUUCCAGCUUCCCGGAUAAAGCACUAAAUUAACUUCAGUUAGUGCUAAAUACGGCUGCUAGAAUCCUGACUAGAACCCAAAAAUUUGAUCAUAUUACUCCAGUGCUAGCCUCCCUAAUGUGGCUUCCUGUUAAGGCAAGGGCUGAUUUCAAGGUUUUACUGCUAACCUACAAAGCAUUACACAGACUUGCUCCUACCUAUCUUUCCGAUUUGGUCCUGCCGUACAUACCUACACGUACGGUCACAAGACGCAGGCCUCCUAAUUGUCCCUAGAAUUUCUAAGCAAACAGCUGGAGGCAGGGCUUUCUCCUAUAGAGCUCCAUUUUUAUGGAACGGUCUGCCUACCCAUGUGAGAGACGCAGACUCGGUCUCAACCUUUAAGUCUUUACUGAGGACUCAUCUCUUCAGUAGGUCCUGAUUGAGUGUAGUCUGGCCCAGGAGUGUGAAGGUGAACGGAAAGGCUCUGGAGCAACGAACCACCCUUGCUGUCUCUGCCUGGGCGGUUUCCCUCUCUCCACUGAGAUUCUCUGCCUCUAACCCUUUUACAGGGGCUGAGACAGGGGCUGGCUUACUGGUGCUCUUUCAUGCCGUCACCUAGGAGGGGUGCGUCACUUGAGUGGGUUGAGUCACUAACGUGAUCUUCCUGUCUGGGUUGGCGCCCCCCCUUGGGUUGUGCCGUGGCGGAGAUCUUUGUGGGCUAUGCUCGGCCUUGUCUCAGGAUUGUCUCAGGAUGGUAAGUUGGUGGUUGAACCUCUAGUGGUGUGGGGCCUGUGCUUUGGAAAAGUGGGUGGGGUUAUAUCUGCUUGUUUGGCCCCUGUCUCCUGACCCCUCCUGUCUCAGCCUCCAGUAUUUAUGCUGCAGUAGUUUAUGUGUCGGGGCUAGGGUCAGUCUUAUCUGGUGUCCUGUGUGAAUUUAGGUAUGCUCGCUCUAAUUCUCUGUCUCUCUCUGAAGACCUGAGCCCUAGGACCAUGCCUCAGGACUUUCUGGCCUGAUCACUCCUUGCUGUCCCCAGUCCACCUGGCCAUGCUGCUGCUCCAGUUUCAACUGUUCUGCCUGAGGCUAUGGAACCCUGACCGGUUUACCGGACGUGCUACCUGUCCCAGACCUGCUGUUUUCAACUCUCUAGAUGCAGAGGUCGACCGAUUAAUCGGAAUGGCGGAUUUAAUUAGGGCCGAUUUCAAGUUUUCAUAACAAUCGGUUAUCGGAAUUUUUGGACACCGAUUUGCCAAUUUCUUUCUUUCUUCUUCUUAUUUUUUUCUACACCUUUAUUUAACUAGGCAGUCAGUUAAGAACACAUUCUUAUUUUCAAUGACGGCCUAGGAACGGUGGGUUAACUGCCUUGUUCAGGGGCAGAACGACAGGUUUUUACCUUGUCAUUUAGUUUUUGCAACCUUUCCGUUACUAGACCAAUGCUCUAACCACCUGCCUUACAUUGCACUCCACGAGGAGCCUGCGUGGCAGGCUGACUACCUGUUACGAAAGGGCAGCAAGAAGCCAUGGUAAGUUGCUAGCUAGCAUUAAACUUAUCUUAUAAAAAACAAUCAAUCUUAUCAUAAUCACUAGUUAACUACACAUGGUUGAUGAUGUUACUAGUUUAUCUAGCGUGUCCUGCGUUGCAUAUAAUCGAUGCGGUGCCUGUUAAUUUCUCAUCGAAUCACAGGCUACUUCGACAAACGAGUGAUGAUUUAACAAACGCAUUUGCGAAAAAAAGCACUGUCGUUGCACCAAUGUACCUAACCAUAAACAUCAAUGCCUUUCUAUAAAAUCAAUACACAACUAUAUAUUUUUAAACCUGCAUAUUUAGUUAAUAUUGCCUGCUAACAUGAAUUUCUUAUAACUAGGGAAAUUGUGUAAUUUCUCUUGCGUUCCGUGCAAGCAGUCAGGGUAUAUGCAGCAGUUUGGGCCGCCUGGCUCGUUGCGAACUGGGUGAAGUCCAUUUAUUCCUAACAAAGGCCGUAAUUAAUUUGCCAGAAUUGGACAUAAUUAUGACAUAACAUUGAAGGUUGUGCAAUGUAACAGCAAUAUUUAGACUUAGGGAUGCCACCCGUUAGAUAAAAUAUGAAACGAUUCCGUAUUUCACUGAAAGAAUAAACAUUUUGUUUUCGAAAUGAUAGUUUCCGUAUUCGUAUUUCUGUGUGUUAUGUUAUACUUAAGUCUAUGAUUUGAUAUUUGAUAGAGCAGUCUGACUGAGCUAUGGUAGGCAGCAGCAGGCUCAUAAGCAUUCAUUCAAACAGCACUUUCAUGCGUUUGCCAACAGCCCUAAUUCUUCAAGCAUUGCGCUGUUUAUGACUUCAAGCCUGUCAACUCCCGACAUUAGGCUGGUGUAACCGAUGUGAAAUGGCUAGCUAGUUAGCGGGUUGCGCGCUAAUAGUGUUUCAAACGUCACUCGCUCUGAGACUUGUACUGGUUGUUCCCCUUCCUCUGCAUAGGUAAUGCCGCUUCGAGGGUGGCUGUUGUCGUUGUGUUCCUGGUUCGAGCCCAGGUAGGAGCGAGGAGAGGGACGGAAGCUCUACUGUUACACUGGCAAUACUAAAGUGGCUAUAAGAAUAGUCAAAGUUAUAUGAAAUACAAAUGGUUUUGAGAGAAAUAGUCCUAUAAUUCCUAUAAUAACUACAACCUAAAACCUCUUACCUGGGAAUAUUGAAGACUCAUGUUAAAAGGAACCACCAGCUUUCAUAUGAUCUCAUGUUCUGAGCAAGGAACUUCAACGUUAGCUUUUUUUUUACAUGGCACAUAUUGCACUUUUUACUUUCUUCUUCAACACUUUGUUUUUGCAUUAUUUAAUCAAAAAUUAACAUGUUUCAUUAUUUAUUUGAGGCUAAAUUGAUAUUGUUGAUGUAUUAUAUUAAGUUAAAAUAAAUGCUCAUUCAGUAUUGUUGUAAUUGUCAUGAUUACAAAUAAAUAAAUAACAAAUUGUCGUCAGAUUAAUCGGUAUCGGCUUUUUUUGGUCCUCCAAUAAUCGGUGUCGGUAUCUGCGUUGAAAAAUCAUAAUCGGUCGACCUCUAAUUUUAACAUUUUGGUCAUGUUCUGUUAUAAUCUCCAACCGGCACAGCCAGAAGAGGACUGGCCACACCUCAUAGCCUGAUUCCUCUCUAGGUUUCGCCCUAGGUUCUGGCCUUUCUAGGGAGUUUUUCCUAGCCACUGUGCUUCUACACCUGCAUUGCUUGCUGUUUGGGGUUUUAGGCUGGGUUUCUGUACAGCACUUUGAAAUAUCAGCUGAUGUAAGAAGGGCUAUAUAAAUACAUUUGAUUUAUCCACCUCUUCUGUGUGGGAUAUGUUUUCCUACCUCGUCUGCGGGCAGAUCUGCAGCAUUUCACAGAGAGUUGGAACAAUCACCCUUUAAGUACAGAGGCGAACAUGACACCUCACCAGCUGUGGCAUAUCGGAAUGCUCCAAACACCCGUGUCUGAGCCAGACUAUGCAGAGAUUCAGCAGGUGGAUGACCUGCUUUAUCAGGAGGCUAAUCUGGAAACACUGACAAUGGGGUCAUUGUUGCUGACAUCCCAUGCCCCCUGUCUACUGAGAAUCUUGCUGUGCUGCAACGUCAAGUGAACCCUACCACUGACUCCUCAUCUUAUUAUUAAAGAGAUGCUUUACAUUGAAACACAUAUAUAGAUGUAGUAGUCCCAGAGUUAAUGAUCCAAGGUUGGUUUUGCAUUUCACUUCCUGAUGAUUAUGAUGACUGACCGUGUUAGAAUAAAAAAACAAAGCUUAAUCACGCUCUCUCUCUACCCACCUGUCUCUCGUCUGCGGGUAUGUUUUGAUGUGAGAGAGGAAGCCAGUCCCGUCAUCGCCACCUCACCCUCUCUUCAGAUAACCAUCGGGCAGACUGGGAGCCCAAGGCUGGUUAGGAGACACCGUUAGAGACACAAUGUAAUUGUGAUGAACUGAGACAACAUUAGCAGCACUGUAAUUCAUGAAUCAUAUGCUGUCUUCCCCGCUCCUCUGUUUAACCUCUUUCCCUUUCUGUCUUCUACACCUCUCUCUCCCCAUCUCGUCUUUCUUCCUCAUUUUAUAAUGCACAACAUAUGUGCGUUGAAGUACAGAUUGAACUUGUAUUGAUAAUAUAUUGUCAUAAUUAUAAUGCAUGUAUUAUGUAUUUAUAACACCUGGAUAAUCUACUUUCAAUAAAGAGUUUAACAUUC